CACAGUUCUGUGGGAGCUGUCCGGGGUGUGGGCUAUGGGUGUCCAGUAAAACAGGAGAGGCCCAGGAGGGACCCUCCCGCACCAUCCCCACCACGUUCCUCACCAUCUGUCCAGGACUUUGCCAAGCGGCAGCUGCUGAUUGUACUGGAACACGGGGACUGUGACGCUGGGAGCUGCCUCCAUGCCAUCUCUGUCUCCCUGGGGGACACCCUCGUCCAGCUCAGGGACUCAGGAGUUGUGCUGGUCGACGGUCAGGAUGUGGCCUUGCCCUGGAGUGCAGCUGGGGGCCUCAGUGUCUCCCGGGCCUCUUCCUCUUUCCUGUUGCUGCGCUGGCCUGGUGCCCGCAUCCUCUGGGGAGUGUCUGACCCUGCAGCCUACAUCACCCUGGACCCCCACCACGCCCACCAGGUGCAGGGUCUGUGUGGCACCUUCACCCGG
rnacentral:lncRNA from 1 species